CCUGGACCCGAAGCGGGAUGAUCUAGCCCUGGGCAGGUUGAAGCGCGGGUAAGACCGCGUGGAGGACCGAACCCACCUGGGUUGAAAACCGGGGGGAUGACCUGGGGCUAGGGGUGAAAGGCCAAUCAAAUUCCGUGAUAGCUGGUUCUCUCCGAAAUGCAUUUGGGUGCAGCGUCGGGUCAUUACGUCCCGGGGGUAGAGCUACUGGAUGCUUGCGGGCCCGUAUCGGGUACCAACAGCAACCAAACUCCGAAUACCGGUGACGCGUAUCCCGGCAGUGAGUCGGCGGGGGAUAAGCUUCGUCGUCGAAAGGGAAACAGCCCAGACCGUCGUCUAAGGUCCCGAAGCGUGUGCUAAGUGGGAAAGGAUGUGGAGUCGCAUAGACAGCCAGGAGGUUGGCUCAGAAGCAGCCAUCCUUGAAAGAGUGCGUAACAGCUCACUGGUCUAGUGGUUCCGCGCCGACAAUGUAGCGGGGCUCAAGCACACCACCGAAGACGCGGCAGCAAUCUUCAUGGUUGCUGGGUAGGAGAGCGUCCUGCGAGGGGCGAAGCGGCCGGGUAACCGUGCCGUGGACUUCGUGGGAGUGAGAAUGCAGACAUGAGUAGCGAGAGACGGGUGAGGAUCCCGUCCGCUGGAUGACCAAGGGUUCCGGGGCCACGUUCGUCGUCCCCGGGUGAGUCGGGUCCUAAGGCGAGGCCGACAGGCGUAGUCGAAUGGAUGAACGGGUGGAUAUUCCCGUACCGACCAUGGACCGGCAAAACCGAGACGGUGAGUACUAACCUCCGCCUCGUGGUGGUUCCUUCCUUCGGGUUGGUUCCGCCGCGUGGUGUUGGGAGCGUAGCCGCAGUAGGUCAGCGCAGGGGUGACACGGAAUGGGAGCCGGCCGCGGAGGUGGUUUUCCGUGGUCAAGCACGCAGCCAGUCAUGUAGGCAAAUCCGCAUGGCGCGCAUGGCGAGGUGUGAUGAUGGGAGCCGUUAUGGCUCGAUAUCCGGUUGUCCAGGCCGUCGAGAAAAGCCUCGGCGUGAGGGCCAUGGCCGCCCGUACCCCAAACCGACACUGGUGGUCAGGUAGAGAAUACCAAGGCGAUCGAGCGAAUCCUGGUCAAGGAACUCGGCAAAUCACUCCCGUGCCUUCGGUAUAAGGGAGACCCGCUGGGGUGAACCGGCUAGCCCGGGGAGCUUUGGUGGGUGGCACAGACCAGGGGGUAGCGACUGUUUACCAAAAACACAGGUGCAUGCGAAGGCGAAAGCCGCUGUAUAUGCACUGACGCCUGCCCGGUGCCGGAAGGUUAAGAGGAUCCGUCAAUCCCUUCGGGGACGAAGCGGUGAAUUCAAGCCCCGGUAAACGGCGGUGGUAACUAUAACCAUCCUAAGGUAGCGAAAUUCCUUGUCGGGUAAGUUCCGACCUGCACGAAUGGCGUAACGACUUCCCCACUGUCUCGACCAGGAGCUCGGCGAAAUUGCAGUACGAGUAAAGAUGCUCGUUAAGCGCAGAAGGACGAAAAGACCCCGGGACCUUUACUAUACCUUGGUAUUGGC
rnacentral:rRNA from 1 species